AUAUGACCUUCAGCAGGGACCUAGGUGGGGAUGCGUUAAGUAGUGUGAGAGCAUUAUGGUCCGCUGACUUACUGUGCCUAUUGCGCGAGGUCCAUGGUCUGACAUACGAAAUAAGGGAUGUAUACGCUUUCGUGAAACCAAAAAUCUAAUACAGUGGUCGAUAUGAGAAGUCUACUAAUGGCUGUCAAAUCUCAGUACUCCUGCGCAUGCGCGUUCCCACUUAGGACGCCAUAUUGAAGUUACGGCUUGACGCAGGUGCCGCUUCUCGACUACAAACAGUGUCUGAAUUUGUCGCGGCUCGCGUAUACCUGUAUACGUGUGUACGUGUGGAGGGGCAGAAAUUCUAAUGACUGCCCUCAGUCUGGCAGUCUGGCAUCUCUGUCGUCGGGUACUGCAUGCAGUUGCGUCUUGGACGUAUCGUGUCGUGUUGUGUCGCAAUAACGUCUCGUUCAGUACGAAGUCAGUCCUCGUCGAACGCGAAUACCGGAUAAAGUGAGAAAGAACCAGUGCCAAUCGAGUUCUCUUCUCCGAGUUAACCUGUCGGUGUUUCGGGCGCCUGGUGUCAUGUAAAAACCGCGUGUGCCCAUCGAAUUACGUCGGACUCGGACGAUUUCGACCGAAGAAAGUACAUACAUACAUACGUAUAUAUACGUCGAAAGACAGUUUCGAUAGGCCUUCCCGGUUUCUCCUCGCAUUUCGCGUUAUCCAUUUAUCGUUUCUCUAACGGGGACGUGCCAGUGCCGCGGGAUAUGCGUUAAACCGUGCGUUAGACUCCAUCGGAGAUUUCGAAGAAAGUGCGAGCAUACGUAUUCGGCGAUGGAUUAGGAAUAAGGGCAACGUGUUCCGUCUCCCAGUCCACACUCAGGUGA